UUAAAGUUUUAUUCUUGCUUAAUUAUUUAUUUUUUCUUUGUGUUAUAUGCGAGUUUUGUUUAAACUAAAUGUUCUUUUUGCAGUGAUUUUAUUUAAUUAUCAAAUUAUUUUGGAAUUAGCAAUUGAAUUAGUAUUGGCAUAAUUCGUGCCAGCAGCCGCGGUUAUACGAUUGAUACAAGUAAAUAUUUUUGGUUAAAAUAGUUAUUAUUAUUGUUGGGAUUAAUUAUAAAUUUUUGAGGUGAAAUUUUAUAUUUUUUUAUAUCUCUACUUAUGAAUCUGUGAAACUUAAAUAAUAAACUAGGAUUAGAUACCCUAUUAUUUUAAUUGUUAAUUUGUUUACCAGGGUAGUAUUAGUUAUGAUCUUUAAACCCAUAGAAUUUGGCGGUACCUUAUUCCAUUUAGAGGAACCUACCCCGUAAUUGAUAGUACACGAUUAACUUUACUUAAUUUUUGUUUGUAUAUCUCCGUUAUCAGGAAAUCUUUUUAGAGUUAUAAUUUUCUUAAUUUAUAAUUAUAAAUUAUUUCAGGUCAAGGUGCAGCUUUAAUUAAGUGGAGGUGGGUUACAAUAAAUUUUUGUUUAUUAUGAAUUUAUUAUUGAAAUAUUAAUAAUGAAGGUGGAUUUAAUAGUAAUUUAAUUUAUUUAAUUUAUUUGAAAUUGGCUCUGAGGUGUGUACACAUCGCCCGUCACUCUCAUCAUUGUUUAUUAUGUUUAUUUAUUUUAUUUCAAUUUAGAUGAGAUAAGUCGUAACAUAGUAGAUGUACUGGAAAGUGUAUCUAGUAAGUUU
rnacentral:ncRNA from 1 species